GGCCGACGCCCCUUGCCGUGCUCCCCACGUCGUAUGCGUCGAUGAGCCACCGCGACGACGAGGAUGGCGGCCGAGGAGAUGAGGAGGGCGUCCACCACUGCCACAGCGACUGCCACCGCCGGAGAAGCGUCGGAGUGAGCGAGGGUGUGGCCUGCGCUCCGCUGGAUCCCCACCUCAACCAAUCGCAUCAUCGCCGCCGAGAAGCGGCUCCUCUCGAUAGUCAAGUACCGCUCUCCGCCCCAAAUUUGCUCCCUUUCAUCCGAUUAAUUUAUGAAGUGUUGAGAGGAGGUCCAAGUCUGCUCGUGGAUUCAAGCGUUUAUCCGGACGACGAAUUGUUCAUCGUGGUGUUACAUUGGGAUUGGGUCGGCACUAGCUAGGUAAUGAGAUGUUGCUGUGCAUGCAUUGCAAUCUAGCUCAAAUGAGGGGUAUUGGGACUGUAGGGCAGCUGCUCAUCCCUUUCGUUAUGACUUGCAUUCAGAACCCUCGUGCUGCUUCACGGCAGUAUGUCUGAUAACACUCUUUUAGCUUCUUGUGGAUGCCUAUAAUAAUCUUACCUGGCAAUGCUGAUUGGACCGAACAAGCUAUUGUUAUCCUGGCAAGAAGAGGCGACGAUGGUAGGCAGGCUGUUCCAUUGAAGCCGGGUGGAUCGUCCAGUCUGAUGGCAGUGCCUACAAGGUUGCUAACUCAAGUCUGAUGUGUUAUGGUGCCUUUUGAUCACCAUGACACAAAUUUGAUGUAUAAUAUCAAGCUGUGAGAUGGUGUUACGUGUAUGUAUUUUCUGUGAAAAGAAAUUUCAGGUUUACUACUUUGCCUGAUAAAUUCAGUAAGCUGUGUACUAAGCAUUGUGCUUACAUGUGAGUUCAAACUGCUUUUAAGAGCUUUGACAGUUUGCUUACUCUGAGUUAGUGGUAUGUAGGCCUAUUCAAUUAUCUUUACUAUUUAAAAAGUCUCUACUACAUCGUAUCUUCACGCUUAAUUCGGUGUGCUAUGUUAUUUUUUUACCGUCAACAUUUCUAUAAUUUCUAUGUAUGCAAUUUUUUUAUUUUUAGGCAAAUAGGGUGAACGAGCCCCUGUGGAGGCUUCUAUCGAAAAUCGUGGUGCUGUACAUGUUGGAGCCCAUCUUCACAAUCAUAUUUGUGAUCAACAUGGCCGUUAUCUGGGAGAAGGUUAUGGCAAGACUGCGGAGCCAGAUAUUUCGAAGGAUUGUGAUCCAAAAGCUCAAAUCCAAUCUCCACUGCGAUCCAUUCCGAUCCCGAUCCGAGAUCCCGAUGGCAUUCGGCUGGUGUUGCAUGUUCCUAGAGAUCCUCCUCACCAUGGUCCUCCCCCUUGACGUCUUCCUCCGCUUCGGAUGCUACAGCGUACAUUCAACUAGUAGAAUAGACAAAGAAAUACAUGGACCUCGUUGGGCCGGAGUUCAGGGUUUCUUUGCUCCGCCGCCGCCGCCGAUUGCACUAAGAUAACACCGAGGUAGGUAGGUAGGUGAAUCUCUUUCUUACUAAACUCCCAUCCAAAUCUUGUCAAAGCGCCAACUGGUUUCGACCCGCCGAAAGGAAAAUCAUAUCACCGGAUUGUUGCCCGUGUCAAUAUUAUCUUGUGUCUAGAAUAAGAUACUGAAUUCAACAGAUUGAUGGGCUCCGACUCCGAGGAGCUUGGUGGAGCACAGGAUGGGCCGAGGGACAUUGGGCGGUACAAGUGCGAAUUCUUCGAUCCAAGAAAUGCUUGAUUCGAGCUCAUGUCCCGAGGUCCUUUGGCUGUCGUUUGGAUGGUUGUCCCCUCACAUACAGAAGAAAGGAUCAUCUGAAUCGGCAUAUGGGGAAAUUGUUCACUUGUCCAGUGGAAGGAAGGAUGCAGUCACAAAUUCAAUGUUAAGGCAAACAUGCAGAGACACGUUCUGGAGAUUCACAAAGAAGGUUCUUGUAAAAGCAAAACUAGAAGCUGAUUGCGGAAAGACUUUGAAAUAUGCUUCGAGGUUAAAGAAGCACGAGGAGUCACAUGCCAAGUAUUUCGACUAGUAUCGAUGUCGUGUCAUUGAGCAGCUUGAAACCUGAAAAUACAUUUGAUACUGUUGUUCAGCUGGGGGCCGGAAGAGGAAAUGCUUCACCGGUGGAGAGUUUGAUGCGCAAAAGAGUAGUUGCAGUUGCCCCCGAUGAAGCGCCUGAUCUGGAGAGGCAACGAGAGGAGAGAAAGAUAAAAGAGGCAACAUAAUUCUGCUGCGAGGGGAUCCCUGACAAGGAUUCAUCUGUGUGACAAGGUCAAGGCAGAGCCCCCUAAUUCUGCUGCUGCGUCUGUCUGUGUCUGUGUCUGUGUCUGUGUCUGUGUCUGUCCCAAUAUGGGGGGCAAGCAUAACUUACGUGGUCACAGUGCCUCCCUACAAUUAGAAAGCUCAAAUCAAUAGCAUCAUUCGUCACCGUCUCUUCUCAGAAUUACAUGUCACUCGUCAGCUUCGUCCAGCAAAACCAUAAAAUAAAAGGGAACCUGCUGCCUUUGCGAGUGCACA